rnacentral:rRNA from 1 species
CCAGCAGCCGCGGUAAAACGUAGGGGUCAAGCGUUAUCCGGAUUAACUGGGCGUAAAGCGCGUGUAGGCGGCUGCUUAAGUCGGACGUGAAAGCUCCUGGCUCAACUAGGAGAGCCCGUUCGAAACUAGGUAGCUUGAGGAUGGUAGAGGAGAGUGGAAUUCCCGGUGUAGUGGUGAAAUGCGUAGAUAUCGGGAGGAACACCAGUGGCGAAGGCGGCUCUCUGGGCCAUUCCUGACGCUGAGAUGCGAAAGCUAGGGGAGAGAACGGGAUUAGAAACCCCGGUAUUCCUAGCCGUAAACGAUGUCAACUGGGUGUAGGAGGUCAUUGACCCCUCCUGUGCUGUAGCUAACGCGUUAAGUUGACCGCCUGGGGACUACGGCCGCAAGGCUAAAACUCAAAGGAAUUGACGGGGACCCGCACAAGCAGCGGAGCGUGUGGUUUAAUUCGAGGCUACGCGAAGAACCUUACCAGGGCUUGACAUAUGCGUGGUAGGAAAUCGAAAGAGGACCGACCCUUCGGGGAGCGCAUACAGGUGCUGCAUGGCUGUCGUCAGCUCGUGCCGUGAGGUGUUAGGUUAAGUCCUGUAACGAGCGCAACCCUCGUCGUUAGUUACAUGUGUCUAGCGAGACUGCCGGUGAUAAGCCGGAGGAAGGUGAGGAUGACGUCAAGUCAGCAUGGCCUUUAUGUCCUGGGCUACACACACGCUACAAUGGCCAGUACAAUGGGUAGCCAAACCGCGAGGUGGAGCCAAUCCCGUAAAGCUGGUCUCAGUUCGGAUUGCAGUCUGCAACUCGACUGCAUGAAGUCGGAGUUGCUAGUAAACGCGCGUCAGCCACAGUGCGUUGAAUACGUUCCCGGGUCUUGUACACACCGCCCGUCACGUCAUGGAAGUUGGCAACGCACUGAAGUCGGUGAGCUAACCCUCACGGGAGGCAGCCGCCUAAGGCGGGGUCGCUAACUGGGACGAAGUCGUAACAAG